GAAGCUACUUUGUUAUGUAGCCAAUAUAAAUUAAAAAACAGCCUGAGUUUACAUAUGUAAAGUCAGGCUCUUUUAAAAUCCAAAGGGGGUUUGUGCCUGUAUGUCAAUCAGAGGGUAAAUACUUUAAUAAAAGGUGAUCACAGCUAAGAGGAAACCUGUCUUAAAUUACAUAUGCAAAUGAGCCAUCAGUAGUGAUCACUACUAAUAGUUUUCCUUUUAAAGGACAAUUUCAGGCCAGAUACAGUAGCUCAAGACUAUAAUCCGAGGACUUAGGGAGGUCAAGCAAAAGGAUUGUUUGUGCCCAGAAAUUCCAAGCUGCAGUGAACUAUGAUCAAUCCACUGUACUCCAGCCUAGGCUACCGAGUGAGAUCCUUUCUCUAAAAUAAAAUAAAAUUCCCAUAUAUCCAUAGGAAUAUAUUCAUCUCUUACAGUGACUGCAGAUUAGUUUUAAAACAUCUUUUUCAUAAUUCAUCAAUGCAAGUUAGUAAGAAUCAGAUAAUUUUCUAUUUUAAAAUGUUGGGAAUCUAGAACUCUUUUUUUUUUUUUAAUUCCAACUUGUUUUUCAGGCAUCAUAGUAGUUGGAAUAAUACAUAUAUAAUUGACUAGUCGUAAAACACAUGAGAGUACAAGAAGGGAAAUUUGGAAGCAAUAAGUCUGCUAGCACAUUACAAUCCUGUGCUAGCACUCCACCUUCAUUCUGCCAUCCUGGGUUAAUUAAAGAUGGUAGCCUAGAAAGGAAUGAACGACACUGACUUCAAGCAAUCUUUCCACUGAUUAUUCUUGGCUGAAUUUCAUUUAUUGAGUCAGAGAUUGCACUGCCUGGGAAAUGCCCCAAGGAGUGAAUUCUAGGCCUGGCCACAGUAGAAUCACCUGCAGAAUUUAAGAAGAAAUUGUUGGGCAUUCUUUCCAGCAAUCUUUAUUUAGUUGGCUUAUAAGGGAAUACAGGUAUAGCUUAUGUUUUUAAAUUUGUCCAGGUGUUUUCUGCCGUCACAGUCGGAAACCAUUGUCUUUGAGAAUGGCUAUUCUACCUUGCCAGUUACAAUAAGUAGGUAGCUACAUUUUCACAUAAAUUACAGUUUACAGAUGUUUGGAGGAGGAAAACAGGAUCUGAGGUGUUUUGAUAUGACUGUUAGCACCAAAAUCUGAAUGCCUUAAUUGUUCAGUGUGUUAAAUUGGAUGAUUAAAAUGGCCAUAAUUGGCUUAUUAAGAAAGCAAAGGGAAACAGCUGUGCUUUCAUUUUUUCUUCUAUUAAAGUACCUAGAGAAUAUGAUAUAGGAGCAUUAAAAGAGAAGCUUCUCAUUCACUGAGUUGGCCCUGAAUUAUCAUUUGCAUAAAAUCUUUUAUUCUAAGUGUUCCUCUUUUGUUUAUUAAAUCAGCAUAUUAUUUUUCAAAAUUACCAUGCGUCUUUUAACUCUCAUCCAGAUGUUGCAUAAAAUCAAAUAUUUAGGAAGCUGAAUGACAAUGAAAUCCAUAGACUUUGUAUUAGGGCUUAUUUCCCAGACUGUCACCUACGUAGUACUCAAAGUUGAUGUAGCCUAUAGCAAUACUCAAAUUUUAAUAUGGGUAAGAAUCAACAGUGAGUACUUAUUUUCAAAGUACUAACCUGUUCCCAUUUCCACAGUUUCUGAUUCACUACAUUGGGUGGGUCCUAGAAAUCUACACUUUUAAGCAUUCCUGGUGAUUUGAAUUCAAGUAUUCCAUGGUUCAUCUCCAAGAAACAUAGUGCUACAGACAGUAGCUGAACCUUAAAUCAUUCUUGGACACAGAAAGUAAUAUUCUCAAAGAUGUGGUCUCUGCAGAGUGAUGAUUAGGCCUAGAAGUCAUCAACCCCAGUGCCUCAAACUCAAAUCACAAAAAGACCCCGAUGCAAAUUAUCUUCAGGGCCAGAACUUGCAGCAGCUUCUUUCUUUAGUCCCCUGAUGCUCUUUAUUCCACCAGGGGAAAUAAGUUAGGUGCAUGGAAAGGCCACUAGUGGCCUCCCUAGAACCUCCUUUUUAUUUUUGAACCACAUCUAAAAGCUAGAAUAAGUAAAUCUAUUUGGUGUGUUUUUAUUGCAUCAUGAUUUAAUUAAAAGAACAAUUACUGAUGAUGGUAAAUGUGAUUCCCCUUCAUGGCCUUAAAAAUUUUGAAACACCAAAACAUAAAGAUGUCUAUCACAUAUCCAAAGUACUGAUAUAAAAAAAGGACAUGCAUUUUUCUGGGUUUCAAAAUUGACUAUACACUGUACUGUCAUACAGAAAGGGCAUAACACCUAAUAAAGAAGUGCUCAUGUUCAGAUAUACCAAGAUAUAAUACAAAAUAGACAGGAUCUUAUAAAAAACAAGUAUGACAAUAGAACCCUUUUUGUUUCUGAACAAAAAUGCAAACUCCUUUAAAAUGAAUGAGCCAUAUAAAACUUGCUAUAUUUGAGGACACUGUGCCAGUCCAUUGCUAGCUUCUAGUCCUCGUUGUGGAAGGUGACAGCAGUCAUGGUGAUGUAUGAGCAGAUGAGAGCCAAUGUGGGCAAGUUGCUCAAGGGUGACCACAGGUACAGUCCUGAGAACCUGGUCACCCUGGAGCACUAUUUGGAGAUGGAGGCCAACAAAAAUGCCUAUGACCUGGAAGCCAACCCAGCUGUGCUGAAGCUGUACUAGUCCAACCCAGUGUUUCUUCAGACCAUAGUCAUGCCCAGAUCCAACUGAAAGCCCUCACCAACCUGCCACCUACCAACUUCACCCUGUAAGUAAGUACAUGAUUGGCCAGGCACAUCAAGAAUGUGGCCAUCCGACAGAUUUUUAUCCCAGGAAACUGCUGGAGACCUGCCAUUUCCAGGCCUUCUGGCAAGUCCUGGAUGAAGGCAUGGACCGCUUAGAAGGUAUAAGUGGCUUUGAAGACUGUCCAAAUGUUUAUCUGCCCUGUCGUGGGUAUGACUUACCAGCACAUCAACUGCUGGCUACUGGCCGAGAUGCUCGGAUAUCUGUCAGACAGCCAGCUGAAGGCAUAGGUGAGAAAAUAAAGCUGGAGUGCCGAUGAGUCAGGGCAGAUCUUCAUCUGCAGCCAGGAAAAAAACAUUAAGCCCAAGAACUUUGUGGAGGAGAUAGACUUUGACAGUGUGUCCAGCAUCGUGGCGUCCUUCCAGUAACUGCAGGUGUUUAAUAAAGAUUUGUUGUCU